rnacentral:rRNA from 1 species
CAUGCAGUGGAGCGACGAACCGGGCUUCGGCCCGGGGCAAAGCCGCGAACGGGUGAGUAUCACGUGGGUAACCUGCCCCGAUGACCGGGACAACCCGAGGAAACUCGGGCUAAUACCGGAUGUGUUCUCAAUCCAUCAGGGUUGAGAGCAAAGGAAGCUUCGGCCUCCGCAUCGGGAUGGGCCCGCGGCCCAUUAGCUUGUUGGUGAGGUAAAGGCUCACCAAGGCAACGAUGGGUAGCUGGUCUGAGAGGACGAUCAGCCACACUGGGACUGAGACACGGCCCAGACUCCUACGGGAGGCAGCAGUGGGGAAUCUUGCGCAAUGCGCGAAAGCGUGACGCAGCAACGCCGCGUGAGGGAAGAAGGCCUUCGGGUUGUAAACCUCUUUCAGGAGGGACGAAGGUUCAGGCGCGAAUAGCGUCCUGGACUGACGGUACCUCCAGAAGAAGCCCCGGCUAACUACGUGCCAGCAGCCGCGGUAAUACGUAGGGGGCUAGCGUUGUCCGGAAUCAUUGGGCGUAAAGAGCGUGUAGGCGGCCCGGUAAGUCCGCUGUAAAAGUCAAAGGCUCAACCUUUGAAUGUCAGUGGAUACUGCCGGGCUAGAGUCCGGAAGAGGCGAGUGGAACUCCUGGUGUAGCGGUGGAAUGCGCAGAUAUCAGGAAGAACACCAACGGCGAAGGCAGCUCGCUGGGACGGUACUGACGCUGAGACGCGAAAGCGUGGGGAGCGAACAGGAUUAGAUACCCUGGUAGUCCACGCCGUAAACGAUGGGCACUAGGUGUGGGGAGGUGUCGACUCCUCCCGUGCCGGCGCUAACGCAUUAAGUG